rnacentral:misc_RNA from 1 species
GAUAUAAACAUUACCCAGUUACUUUCCCUAACCAAGAUGAAGCCUCACAGCCUCUCAAGCGAUCAUGCUUCUCUAACCCAUGAGUCCAAGAGAUCCUUUGGAGUUGUAGAGAAGCUCAAGCUUCAGGCUUGUGAUGCUGCCAGAAAUAACGGAGUAGUCGGGAAGGGAAAUACCACUACAACUACUACUUGGUUUUCCAAGGAAAACCAGAGACGGAACUGGAGCUAUGUCGCAGAAGACCCCAUUAGAACUAUGAUGUUCUUGGCCUCUUGGGGCCAUACUUGAGUUCUAUACAUCUUCUAAUUACUCCAAACAAAUUUACACAACACAAUUGUGUUCAAAGGAAAUCUUUAAUUAUCCGUAAUAAAAUUAUGGUAUACAUGUUAUGCAUCAGGUAUAAAUUAAUAUAGUAAUUACAAAGUGUAAAAAUAAUGAUAUUAAAGAUCAAAGUUUAUUGUAUUAGCUAAUUGUGUAGUAAAAAAAUAAUUUAGCUAGCUUGCCUUUAAUUUCUUGAUGCUUUGUGAUCGCUGGACUACUAGUUUUCUUUUUUUGAGAAAAAAAUUUGUUGGAGUAUUGUUGAAAUAAUUAUGUAUACGUUUGUUGGAGUAUUGUUGAAAUAAUUAUGUAUACGUUAGAUGUAUUUUUAGACAUGAGAAAUUUGCUUAAUAAAUCAUAAUUUUCUUUGAUAAUUAUGUAAUUUAAUUUCCGAAACCAUUGAAGAGUUCAAAAAAUUGCUCUACGUACGUCAAAUUUUAAAAUACUAAAAAAAAAUUAAAAUACGGAGGGCUAGGAGUAUGAUAGAAAGCUUAUUCAGUAUCACUAUACAGUUGGUAGGCGCGGGCAAUGCACAAUAACCUAACCUGAUAUCCACGUGUCCAAUUAUGGUUUGGUGCUGCAGCACUUACUAAAAUCCUAUUGUGUUUGUCACAAACAAACCACUUAAGCGACGCCGUCUCCACCCAUCUCUACAUUACAUAUGGCGUCACCGUCAGAUCACAAGGCCACCAUAAUCGACGGCACAGCCAUCGCCCAGACCAUCCGAUCCGAAAUUGCCGAUGACGUCCGUCAACUCUCUGAGAAAUACGGCAAGGUUCCAGGAUUGGCUGUUGUCAUUGUAGGCAACAGAAAGGAUUCUCAAAGCUAUGUAAGUAUGAAAAGAAAGGCUUGUGCUGAAGUUGGGAUAAAGUCAUUUGAUAUAGACCUCCCAGAACAAAUAUCUGAAGCUGAGCUGAUCAGCAAGGUCCAUGAGUUAAAUGCAAAUCCUGAUAUACAUGGUUGGCCUGCUGUUAACUCUAUUUACAUUUUGGCAAUUGAUAGCUUAUAAUUUAUAUUUUAGUGUUCUGAUGAUAACGUUAAGCCACAUGCUUGCGCUCAAACUGGAGUUAAGGGCAGCCUUCCAUUUCAACGUAGUAGUACCUAGCUUCAUACAUGUGAGAAAUAAAGUUUGAAACUUACUGCAACUCAUGAAGAACCUUGGAAUUACUUUAACAUCUACUUUUUGAUAUCUGAUGAACUUAGCUAUUUGUUUGUUUCAACAAUCAAUUCUUAAUAGGCCAGUUUUGCAAGCAAGCUUGCAUUGUUUCUGUUUGUCACAAUGUUAAUUCAUUCUAUAUUUUUAAUUCUUUAAAGCAACUUUUUUGUUCUAUGAACAGGAAUAUUGGUUCAGCUGCCAUUGCCAAAGCAUAUUAAUGAAGAGAAAGUCUUGAUUGAAAUCCAUCUUGAAAAGGAUGUGGAUGGUUUUCAUCCUCUUAACAUUGGCAAACUUGCAAUGAAAGGCAGAGAACCUCUUUUUGUUCCCUGUACCCCCAAGGCAAUGUAGUUGUCCUUAAAAUGAUUUCGAUUUAUUAUCAUUUUACUGUGGGAUCAAUCCUUCUUUUUCUUCUCCCAAAACAUAUUAUCUAAUGAUAUCAAGUUAGAAAUUCAUAUAUUUGCUAAUAAGCUUCUUGGUCUACAGGGUUGUCUGGAGCUUCUUUCACGAAGUGGUAUAACUAUUAAGGGAAAAAAUGCUGUUGUUGUUGGUCGCAGCAACAUAGUUGGAUUACCAGUGUCACUGCUUCUGAAAGCAGAUGCUACAGUUACCAUUGUCCAUUCCCGUUCUGAUGACCAAGAGAGGAUCAUUCGUGGAGCUGACAUCAUUAUUGCAGCAGCUGGGCAAGCAAUGAUGAUCAAGGGCAGCUGGAUUAAACCUGGAGCUGCAGUUAUUGAUGUUGGCACAAAUGCUAUUGAUGAUCCAAGUAAGAAGUCGGGUUAUAGGCUAGUGGGAGAUGUAGAUUACAAGGAAGCAUGUAAGGUAGCUGGAUGGAUUACCCCUGUUCCAGGUGGUGUGGGUCCAAUGACUGUUGCAAUGCUACUCAAGAACACCUUGGAUGGUGCAAAGCGGGUAUUCAUGCAGUAAUGUUCCAUAUAUUUUUUUUCUCUUUCAAAUAUAAUUUUUGCCAAUAUUCUUCGUAAGCCCUAUCCUCUGUUUUCACUUCAUGAUUAACUCCCGCUUUUAUAGGAGAUCAUGCAUAUUUAAGUUUAUUGGAUAUCCUUGUUUUGCUAUAAUAUGAUCAUAAUUACAUUGCAUAUUUGAUUACGUUAUUUGAUGUAAUGG